UACGAGUGCCCCGAGCGUUAUCCGGAAUCAUUGGGCGUAAAAGAGCGUGUAGGCGGCCAAGCAGGUCUGUUGUGAAAACUGGAGGCUCAACCUCCAGACGUCGACAGAAACCGCUUGGCUAGAGUCCGGAAGAGGAGAGUGGAAUUCCUGGUGUAGCGGUGAAAUGCGCAGAUAUCAGGAAGAACACCAAUGGCGAAAGGCAGCUCUCUGGGACGGUAC
rnacentral:rRNA from 1 species